rnacentral:rRNA from 1 species
CAGCCGCCGCGGUAAUACGUAGGGUGCAAGCGUUGUCCGGAAUUAUUGGGCGUAAAGAGCUCGUAGGCGGUUUGUCGCGUCUGCUGUGAAAUCCCGAGGCUCAACCUCGGGCUUGCAGUGGGUACGGGCAGACUAGAGUGCGGUAGGGGAGAUUGGAAUUCCUGGUGUAGCGGUGGAAUGCGCAGAUAUCAGGAGGAACACCGAUGGCGAAGGCAGAUCUCUGGGCCGUAACUGACGCUGAGGAGCGAAAGCAUGGGGAGCGAACAGGAUUAGAUACCCCCGUAGUCCCUGUCUCUUAUAC